rnacentral:rRNA from 1 species
AGAGCGAACGCUGGCGGCGUACCUAACACAUGCAAGUCGAACGGGGAUCAUAGGGUUAGCAAUAACUCUGUGGUUCUAGUGGCGCACGGGUGAGUAACACGUGGGUAACCUGCCCUUGAGACUGGGAGUACCCCCUCGAAAGGGGGGCUAAUACCGGAUACGUUCCUCGGAUCGAAAGGUCUGAGGAGGAAAGGUGGCGAAAGCUGGCCGCUCUUGGAGGGGCUCGCGGCCUAGUCAGCUAGUUGGUGGGUAACGGCCCACCAAGGCGUAUGACGGGUAGCUGGUCUCGAGAGGACGACCAGCCACACGGGGACUGAGACCACGGCCCCGACUCCUACGGGAGGCAGCAGUGGGGAACUUUCCGGCAAUGGGCGAAAGCCUAGACGGAGUUGACGCCGCGUGUAGGACGAAGGCCUUCGGGUCGUAAACC